rnacentral:rRNA from 1 species
GAUGAACGCUGGCGGCGUGCCUAAUACAUGCAAGUCGAGCGAACAGAUGAGGAGCUUGCUCCUCUGACGUUAGCGGCGGACGGGUGAGUAACACGUGGAUAACCUACCUAUAAGACUGGGAUAACUUCGGGAAACCGGAGCUAAUACCGGAUAAUAUAUUGAACCGCAUGGUUCAAUAGUGAAAGACGGUUUUGCUGUCACUUAUAGAUGGAUCCGCGCCGCAUUAGCUAGUUGGUAAGGUAACGGCUUACCAAGGCAACGAUGCGUAGCCGACCUGAGAGGGUGAUCGGCCACACUGGAACUGAGACACGGUCCAGACUCCUACGGGAGGCAGCAGUAGGGAAUCUUCCGCAAUGGGCGAAAGCCUGACGGAGCAACGCCGCGUGAGUGAUGAAGAUCUUCGGAUCGUAAAACUCUGUUAUUAGGGAAGAACAAAUGUGUAAGUAACUAUGCACGUCUUGACGGUACCUAAUAAGAAAGCCACGGCUAACUACGUG